rnacentral:rRNA from 1 species
UACGUAGGGUGCAAGCGUUAAUCGGAAUUACUGGGCGUAAAGCGUGCGCAGGCGGUUUUGUAAGUCUGUCGUGAAAUCCCCCGGGCUCAACCUGGGAAUUGCGAUGGAGACUGCAAGGCUAGAAUCUGGCAGAGGGGGGGUAGAAUUCCACGUGUAGCAGUGAAAUGCGUAGAGAUGUGGAGGAACACCGAUGGCGGAGGCAGCCCCCCUGGGUCAAGAUUGACGCUCAUGCACGAAAGGCGU